UACGUAGGGGGCAAGCGUUGUCCGGAAUCAUUGGGCGUAAAGAGCGCGUAGGCGGCCCAGUAAGUCCGCUCUGAAAGUCAGGGGCUCAACCCCUGGAUGCGGGUGGAUACUGCUGGGCUAGAGUCCGGAAGAGGAGUGUGGAAUUCCUGGUGUAGCGGUGAAAUGCGCAGAUAUCAGGAGGAACACCAAUGGCGAAGGCAGCACUCUGGGACGUGACUGACGCUGAGACGCGAAAGCGUGGGGAGCAAACAGG
rnacentral:rRNA from 1 species